rnacentral:misc_RNA from 1 species
UACGGAGGUUCCAAGCGUCAUCCGGACUCAUUGGGCUUAAAGGGUCCGUAGGCGGGAUAAUAAGUCAGUGGUGAAGGUCUGCAGCUCAACUGUAGAAUUGCCAUUGAUACUGUUGACCUUGAGUAAUUAUGAAGUGGUUAGAAUAUGUAGUGUAGCGGUGAAAUGCAUAGAUAUUACAUAGAAUACCGAUUGCGAAGGCAGAUCACUAAUAAUUUACUGACGCUGAGGGACGAAAGCGUAGGUAGCGAACAGG